rnacentral:rRNA from 1 species
UACAGAGGUGGCAAGUGUUGUUCGGAUUUACUGGGCGUAAAGGGUCCGCAGGCGGUCUGGUGUGUCGGAUGUGAAAGCUCACGGCUUAACCGUGGAAUUGCAUUCGAAACUACUAGACUAGAGUACAGGAGGGGAGAGGGGAAUUCAGGGUGUAGCGGUGAAAUGCGUAGAUAUCCUGAAGAACACCGGUGGCGAAGGCGCCUCUCUGGACUGAUACUGACGCUCAUGGACGAAAGCUAGGGGAGCGAAG